GAAAUGCGAUAAGUAAUGUGAAUUGCAGAAUUCAGUGAAUCAUCGAAUCUUUGAACGCACCUUGCGCUCCUUGGUAUUCCUUGGAGCAUGCCUGUUUGAGUAUCAUGAAAUCUUCAAAGUAAAUCUUUUGUUAACUCAAUUGGUUUCUACUUUGGUAUUGGAGGUCUUUGCAGCUUCACACCUGCUCCUCUUUGUUCAUUAGCUGGAUCUCAGUGUUAUGCUUGGUUCCACUCGGCGUGAUAAGUUAUCUAUCGCUGAGGACACUGUAAAAGGUGGCCAAGGUAAAUGCAGAUGAACCGCUUCUAAUAGUCCAUUGACUUGGACAAUACUUUUAUGAUCUGAUCUCAAAUCAGGUAGGACUACCCGGUGAACUUAAGC
rnacentral:misc_RNA from 1 species